rnacentral:rRNA from 1 species
GACGAACGCUGGCGGCAGGCCUAACACAUGCAAGUCGAACGAGAAGCCACCUUCGGGUGGUGGAAAGUGGCAGACGGGUGAGUAACGCGUGGGAACGUGCCUUUCGGUUCGGGAUAACCCAGGGAAACUUGGGCUAAUACCGGAUACGCCCUCCGGGGGAAAGAUUCAUUGCCGAAAGAUCGGCCCGCGUCGGAUUAGCUAGUUGGUAGGGUAAUGGCCUACCAAGGCGACGAUCCGUAGCGGGUAUGAGAGGAUGACCAGCCACACUGGGACGGGGACACGGCCCAGACUCCGGCGGGAGGCAGCGGUGGGUAAUAUUGGACAAUGGGCGAAGGCCUGAGCCAGCCAUGCCGCGUGGGUGAAGAAGGCCUUAGGGUUGUAAACCCCUUUCAGCGGGGAAGAUAAUGACGGUACCCGCAGAAGAAGUCCCGGCUAACUCCGUGCCAGCCGCCGCGGUAAGAC